UUUUAGCCCUGAUGGGAGCGGCAUCCUUUUUCUGGCUUCUUUAGACAGAAAAAGAUACAGCGGACAGCAGGAUUAGCU
rnacentral:sRNA from 1 species